rnacentral:misc_RNA from 1 species
GAUGAAGAACGUAGCGAAAUGCGAUACUUGGUGUGAAUUGCAGAAUCCCGUGAACCAUCGAGUUUUUGAACGCAAGUUGCGCCCGAAGCCAUUCGGCCGAGGGCACGUCUGCCUGGGUGUCACGCAUCGUUGCCCCCCCAAACUCCGGUUCGGGCGGGGCGGAAGUUGGCCUCCCGUGCGUGCCUGCGCGCGCGGUUAGCCCAAAAGCGAGUCCUCGGCGACGAGCGCCACGACAAUCGGUGGUUUUUUUACCCUCGUUCCUCGUCGUGCGUGCCCCGUCGCCCGAACGCGCUCUUGCGACCCUUACGCGUCGCCUCGGCGGCGCUCCCAACGCGACCCCAGGUCAGGCGGGACUACCCGCUGAGUUUAAGCAUAUCAAUAAGCGGAGGA